AACUGGGGCCUUUGGAUGGGGAGUGGAGGGCUGGGUGUCCCCUUUGUGAGUUCUUACUUGUUCCCCAGAAAUUCCAAGAGAAAUACUUGACUCUGUCAAUUGCGUGCCUUGUGUGAUGUAAGGUAAUUUUGUGUUGUGAUAUUUGUUCAUUUGUAAGCGAUUUUACGUUAGGACCCUUGCUUUCCUCGGAGCCUGGAGGGAAUCCCAGGGACAGUGAGUAAAGUGUUCAUCUUUUGCCUAGAGGAAGUUCGUUUUCUAGAGAGUCGUUGGGCUUUCAAUGGUUUUUUUCCUGUUUUCAUUCAGGUCAUCACACUAGCGCCUAUCUCCUCUUUAUCAAGAUGUUCAUAACAAAGGCGUUGGAAAUGUGACCCAGUUAUUCUAAAUCUUGACAAGUACUGAGAAGAAAACGUUACCGUCACCCUGUACCAGCUGCUUCUCUUACCUUUUUAUUAAUCCUUCAGUAAGGACUGACUUAAGUAUAGUUCCUGACUGCACAGCGUUAGUACUGUCUUACCUGUCUUUUCAAUGAUUGAAGUUUCUCCAAGCAGUCACCCCCAUGAAGCUUACCUUGGGAGUAGGGCGUGGGGUUCAGCCCUGGAUUGUGCCAAGGCAGCAGCCUCUGCACAGGCCUUCACUGCGGGCUCCCAGCCUCUUCCACUCUCAAGCCUUCCUCCUCUGUGCAGUGGGUUCUGUCCUGACCACAGCUUGUCUUCAUGUGGAAAGUAGGUGGGAAGCAGCGUUUAGAAGUUGACAAAACUCCAGCAUGACUUUGAGAAGAGUUCGUCUUGGUCAGGUUGCCCAGUACCUCAGAACAUGAAGUGUUUUGUAGUCUGAGCCCUGAUGACUGUGAGGUGAGUGGGGUGGGUAGCUUAUCCACCUACUCACUUCAAUGUUUUUAGAAAGAAUGAUGGGGAGUGGGACAGGGUGGACAAGACCACCACUGCCACCCCAUCCACCCGGCUUGGGAAGCAAGGUUUGUAUGGUGCUGACUGCUCUUUUGUGAUGCUCAAAAUUUGGAGAAAGACUAGAAGUUUUUCUCAUUUCGUGGGUGAGUGUGCGUGUGUUGUGUAAUCUGUACUUAACAGAAAUCUCCCGUAUAGGGACUGGUGGUAGCCGAUUCGCUCUUGUGUCAGAUUGGUUAAGACAUGAGGUGUGCCUGCUCCUGAGACCACAACCCACUGGGCCUUGUCAUCGCUUGGGGAGUUGGUGGUGGGCAGCUGUCUUCCCUUGGCUGCAUUCUGUACUUUGCGUUCCUAGGUGCGGGAGGUGGGAGUUGGGGGAAGGGCUUGGGUAAUGCACACCUGGCUGAGCCUGCUGGUCAGCUCCACAGUUGCUGUGGCCCCUUUGGCUGAGCCUGCUGGUCAGCUCCGCAGUUGCUGUGGCCCCUUUCUGUCCGGUGCACCUUCCCUAACACCUCACGCUGGGUGUGCGUCCUGCCCUGCUGGUCUCCCUCUGGAUUUCCAGAACCCACUUUCGACUGGACUUUCCCAGCUGCCCUAGUGGCACAGAUAGCGGUUCUAGACCAAGGUUUGUUGGGGCGCAGACACGGUUAUUCGUUUACAGUCACAGCAGAGGCCAGGGUUGGAGCUAUGACAGACUCCUUAACAGGACCCUUAACAGGAAAAGUUUGCCAACCUCUACUGAAAUCUGGAGUGCUCCCACUGAGUUUGUGUAAUUCCUACUCUGGAGGAGGAGGAUCACGCAAGAUAACUUGUCUGCCCAGGAGGAGACUGAGCUUGCAAAAUCUUCGUUCGCUGACCGUGGAUUGAACCCAGGCUCUGGGUGGUGAAAGCACAGAGUCCUAACCCCUGGACUGCCAGAGAAUUCCCACUGAAUGCAUUUCAUUGUAAGGCUGUGAAGACUUGUUUGGUCUGCCAUUUGCCAAGUGGAGUGUGACCUGCCCCCUCAUCCACUUUAGGGACCAACAAGACACCUAGCGGGGUGUGGGGUGCUGCGUGGUCCUUCCUCUACAGUUUGAGGUAGGAGUGACUCGUCGUCCGCGUCUCCCUAGGGGGAGCAGAAGGACGCCUUGGAGGGGUUGGAGGGAAGCCAUUUGUAGCAGCCCCUCGUUCACUGAGGCCGCCAUAAACACCGCUGGGGUGGCCUGGGUUUGUGCCCUUACAGCUCUACCUCAGGAGGAGGGGCUGGGGCCUCGGCCUAGGUCUGAAGGGCUGCAGAGAGGAGGUAAAAGGGGCCAGUGUUUCUGUAGAACUCAAUAUUUUGACUGUUAAUUCCAACUUGUGAAGUUAAUACUCUUGCUGUCCCUUGUAACGGGGUCAGAAAAAUAAUCUGCAUGAACUGCUGUGAUGGGGGGGCCCUGGUACCUGCCACACCAGAUGGUCGGGGGGAGGGGGCCAUUGCCAUGCCACUUGGCUUAUGGGACUUAGUUUCUCAACCAGGGGUCGAACACAGGCCCUUGGCAGUGGGGAAGCAGCAUCCUAACCGCUGGACCACCAGGGAUGUCCCCCGCACCUGGUAGUUGUAGUGGUGUUAAGUUGGGCUUUGUUGGAGUUUGUUCUCUGCCUUUUGCUGCUGGGACUGGAGUAAGUUGUCCCCAUGAGUACCAUGCCACUGACAUGGGUGGGCUCUGUCACGGCUGACGUGGAGCCAUGUUGGGGUUCAAACCCCAGCUACCAGGCAGCUCACCCCUUUCCGUGGUGAGAUUGGGGCUCUCCUGGUUCAGCAAAAUUCACGUCUAGUGUGCAGCCUCUUCGGGUGUUGGUGAAAUCAGGGGUGUUCGUCUUAACCCUUCUGUGGGGCUCUCAUUCCUUCCACAGCCCAAGUGGAGAGCGGAUCUCCACAUGGAACCAGGGCAUGGCCAGACAGGUUGGGGAGGGGAGAUGGCCACUGGGCAUUUGCACUGGUCUUGAAGGCCAUUUCUUCAUGAGGUUACUCCCCUGGCAGAAAGGUUGUUGAGGGAAGGGGGCGUUUUAUAAAAGGGGAGUCUUUUGAUCUUGGCAGUGGGUAGGCUGCUUGAUGCCUGGAAGAGGGCCAGAGCCCUGGUAUAGAGGAUGGCGUGGCUUCCCUGGUGGCUCAGACAGUAGAGCAUCUGCCCGCAAUGCGGGAGACCUGGGUUCAGUCCCUGGGUU